AUUGAACGCUGGCGGCAGGCCUAACACAUGCAAGUCGAACGAGUGGCGGACGGGUGAGUAAUGUAUGGGAAUCUGCCCGAUGGAGGGGGAUAACUACUGUAAACGGUAGCUAAUACCGCAUACUAUCGGAUGUGCCCAGAUGGGAUUAGCUAGUAGGUGGGGUAAAGGCUCACCUAGGCGACGAUCACUAGCUGGUCUGAGAGGAUGAUCAGCCACACGGGAACUGAGACACGGUCCAGACUCCUACGGGAGGCAGCAGUGGGGAAUAUUGAACAAUGGGCGCAAGCCUGAUGCAGCCAGGGCGCGUGUAUGAAGAAGGCAUUCGGGUUGUAAAGUACUUUCAGCGGGGAGGCGUUACCCGCAGAAGAAGCACCGGCUAACUCCGUGCCAGCAGCCGCGGUAAUAC
rnacentral:rRNA from 1 species